GACAGAGGCCUCAAGCGUUAGGCGGAAUCACUGGGCUUAAAGCGUGUGUAGGCGGGUCGUUAAGUACCUUGUGAAAUCCCACGGCUCACCCGUGGAACUGCUGGGUAUACUGGCGAUCUUGGGCCAACUAGGGGCAACUGGAACAAGCGGUGGAGCGGUGAAAUGCGUAGAUAUCGCUUGGAACGCCGAAGGUGAAAACAGGCUGCUGGGGUUGCGCCGACGCUGAGACACGAAAGCCAGGGGAGCAAACGGG
rnacentral:rRNA from 1 species